UCCGGUUGAUCCCGCCGGAAGCCACUGCUAUGGGGGUCCGACUAAGCCAUGCGAGUCAUGGGGCGCGCUCUGCGCGCACCGGCGGACGGCUCAGUAACACGUCGGUAACCUACCCUCGGGAGGGGGAUAACCCCGGGAAACUGUGGCUAAUCCCCCAUAGGCCUGAGGUACUGGAAGGUCCUCAGGGCGGAAGGGGCAUCUGCCCGCCCGAGGAUGGGCCGGCGGCCGAUUAGGUAGUUGGUGGGGUAACGGCCCACCAAGCCGAAGAUCGGUACGGGCCAUGAGAGUGGGAGCCCGGAGAUGGACACUGAGACACGGGUCCAGGCCCUACGGGGCGCAGCAGGCGCGAAACCUCCCCAAUGCGGGCAACGCGACGGGGGGACCCCCAGUGCCGUGGAAUAGCCACGGCUUUUCCGGAGUGUAAAAAGCUCCGGGAAUAAGGGCUGGGCAAGGGCGGUGGCAGCCGCCGCGGUAAUACCGGCGGCCCGAGUGGUGGCCGCUAUUAUUGGGCCUAAAGCGCCCGUAGCCGGGCCCGUAAGUCCCUGGCGAAAUCCCACGGCUCAACCGUGGGGCUUGCUGGGGAUACUGCGGGCCUUGGGACCGGGAGAGGCCGGGGGUACCCCUGGGGUAGGGGUGAAAUCCUAUAAUCCCAGGGGGACCGCCAGUGGCGAAGGCGCCCGGCUGGAACGGGUCCGACGGUGAGGGACGAAGGCCAGGGGAGCGAACCGGAUUAGAUACCCGGGUAGUCCUGGCUGUAAAGGAUGCGGGCUAGGUGUCGGGCGAGCUUCGAGCUCUCCCGGUGCCGGAGGGAAGCCGUUAAGCCCCCCGCCUGGGGAGUACGGCCGCAAGGCUGAAACUUAAAGGAAUUGGCGGGGGAGCACUACAAGGGGUGGAGCGUGCGGUUUAAUUGGAUUCAACGCCGGG
rnacentral:rRNA from 1 species